UACGUAGGGUGCGAGCGUUGUCCGGAAUUAUUGGGCGUAAAGAGCUCGUAGGCGGUUUGUUGCGUCGGCUGUGAAAUCCCGAGGCUCAACCUCGGGUCUGCAGUCGAUACGAGCAAACUAGAGUGUUGCAGGGGAGACUGGAAUUCCUGGUGUAGCGGUGAAAUGCGCAGAUAUCAGGAGGAACACCGGUGGCGAAGGCGGGUCUCUGGGACGUUACUGACGCUGAGACGCGAAAGCGUGGGGAGCAAACAGG
rnacentral:rRNA from 1 species